UUUGAGGGGAACGUUGUCUGGCCCGAGGACACCGGUUCCAUUUCCAUUUGCCUCUACGGAAGCUGUUCGUCACUUGGUUGUUAAAUGGUUUGAGCUUGUGCCGGUGUUGUCGGACCAGGCUUCAUUCCUCCCAAU
rfam:Gossypium hirsutum cultivar TM-1 chromosome 21, whole genome shotgun sequence